UUAUCUGCUCGGUGUUAAACUGUCCAGAACUGGGAACUAAUUGUAACUAUGGUUGUAGCUCCCAGUGUAGUAGCGUUCUCUCUGCCCAAUAGUGGCUCUCCUUUUUCUUUGAUUACACUGAAUUUUUAUGUUGCUUUUCAGGUGAGAUCUUGUCACCUCUGCCAAUUGAACGAUUCCAUCAAGACUUGCGCCAGUCUUGCUUUCAUUUAAUGUAAAACUUACAAUGUUGUGGCACACUGAUGAGACUAACAAGCUAGUUUCAAGCUUGUGUGCAGUUUUAGCAGCAUUUGACUGAUGCUAAUUCUGUGCCAUGCAGGUGAAAGAAGCUUGGGAGGUCUUUGGUUUGGAUUUAAUUGGACCGCUGUCAGAAACAGCACACAGCAACAAGUGUGUCCUUACCAUGAGCGACCUGUACACCAAGUGGGUGAUUGCAGAACACAUGCAAUCAAAGACAGCGGCUGAGGAGUGUGCAAUAAUAACCACAAAGUUGUACUCGUUCAGCACGGUUAGGAAAAUCAUCACAGACCGAGGGAAGGAGUUUAACAAGCUCAAUGAAAGCAUUUUACACUGAACAUAAAACAUGCUUCUCCAGUGCUUCCCAUCCCCAGACCAAUGGGCAGGGAACUCUCUGGAUGUUUGUCCUGAAGUAUGUGAAUGACAACCACAAUGACUGGGACCUCCACCUUCCUGCUGUGGUGUAUGGAAUCAACACUGCAAAGCAGCUUGUGUCUUAACAUGCUAACUUAUUAUAUCUACAGUUAAAUGUCAAUGUACUCCACUAGACACAGUCCUUACUUCCUCCUCUUCCAUCAACACCCACGUCUGCCAGAGGUCAUGAAUGUCUGUCCCAUGGGAUUUUGAAGUUGCUGACCCAGAUAAUGACACCAGAGUCAAUGAGAUGAAACGUCUUAAUGAAACAGUUUGUAUUUGAAAAUGAAAGAAAAGGAAGACAGGAGACACAUUGACAAGUCAGCACCAUAGACCAUAUUCUGUGUUGCAUGGACAGAGGUUUGCAUACUGGACCGAAGAAUCAUCCCAACUCCUUCAGGAAACACAGCCUCAAGGCUGUCUUCAGGGUUUCAAAAUCCACCACCAAACUGUUGCCCAGCAGAAGAGUUGUGGUUGAAACGGACAUUAAUAAGGUGAAGCAGACAACUAUUUUGAGAGACAUGUAUACAGCGUGGAACUGGGUACAGUCACAGAGACUUCUUCCCUGUCAGAAGGGAAGAAGACCCAGCGUGCCGAGUUGAAGAUUUUGACUCCAGCCAGGACACAGGCCAAGAAACAGCAAACAAGAUAUGCAAGAUCUGGUGAGUAAUGUUUGGUGAAGUCACAUCUGAUAAUGUGAUGUGGAUGAAAACCACAUCUCUGAUUGCAGACCAAAAGACCAAAAGACCAGGCCGA